UACGAAGGGGGCUAGCGUUGCUCGGAAUUGGCUGGGCGUAAAGGGCGCGUAGGCGGAUUGUACAGUCAGGCGUGAAAUUCCUGGGCUCAACCUGGGGCUGCGUUUGAUACGUAUGGUCUUGGAGUUCGGGAGAGGUGAGUGGAACUGCGAGUGUAGAGGUGAAAUUCGUAGAUAUUGCAAGAACACCAGUGGCGAAGGCGGCUCACUGGCCCGAUACUGACGCUGAGGCACGAAAAGCGUGGGGGAGCAA
rnacentral:rRNA from 1 species